CGGGGCGUAGCGCAGCUCGGUAGCGCGCCUGCUUCGGGAGCAGGAGGUCCCGGGUUCAAAUCCCGGCGCCCCGA
rnacentral:tRNA from 2 species